AUUGAACGCUGGCGGCAGGCCUAACACAUGCAAGUCGAACGAGUGGCGGACGGGUGAGUAAGGACUGGGAAACUUCCCGAUGGAGGGGGAUAACUACCGGAAACGGUAACUAAUACCGCCUACCAUCGGCUGUGCCCCGGUGGGAUUAGCUAGUAGGUGGGGUAACGGCCGACCAAGGCGACGAUCCGUAGCGGGUCUGAGAGGAUGACCAGCCACACUGGAACUGAGACACGGUCCAGACUCCUACGGGAGGCAGCAGUGGGGAAUAUUGCACAAUGGGCGAAAGCCUGAUGCAGCCAUGCCGCGUGUAUGAAGAAGGCCUUCGGGUUGUAAAGUACUUUCAGCGAGGAGGCGUUACUCGCAGAAGAAGCACCGGCUAACUCCGUGCCAGCAGCCGCGGUAAUUC
rnacentral:rRNA from 1 species